rnacentral:rRNA from 1 species
GAUCAUGGCUCAGGAUGAACGCUAGCUACAGGCUUAACACAUGCAAGUCGAGGGGCAUCAGGAAGAAGCUUGCUUUCUUUGCUGGCGACCGGCGCACGGGUGAGUAACACGUAUCCAACCUGCCCUUUACUCGGGGAUAGCCUUUCGAAAGAAAGAUUAAUACCCGAUAGCAUAAUGAUUCCGCAUGGUUUCAUUAUUAAAGGAUUCCGGUAAAGGAUGGGGAUGCGUUCCAUUAGGUUGUUGGUGAGGUAACGGCUCACCAAGCCUUCGAUGGAUAGGGGUUCUGAGAGGAAGGUCCCCCACAUUGGAACUGAGACACGGUCCAAACUCCUACGGGAGGCAGCAGUGAGGAAUAUUGGUCAAUGGGCGCUAGCCUGAACCAGCCAAGUAGCGUGAAGGAUGAAGGCUCUAUGGGUCGUAAACUUCUUUUAUAUAAGAAUAAAGUGCAGUAUGUAUACUGUUUUGUAUGUAUUAUAUGAAUAAGGAUCGGCUAACUCCGUG